rnacentral:rRNA from 1 species
GACGAACUGUCCUAACGUUGUUCGGAAUUACUGGGCGUAAAGCGUGCGCAGGCGGUGAUGUAAGACAGAUGUGAAAUCCCCGGGCUCAACCUGGGAACUGCAUUUGUGACUGCAUCGCUGGAGUGCGGCAGAGGGGGAUGGAAUUCCGCGUGUAGCAGUGAAAUGCGUAGAUAUGCGGAGGAACACCGAUGGCGAAGGCAAUCCCCUGGGCCUGCACUGACGCUCAUGCACGAAAGCGUGGGGAGCAAACAGG